rnacentral:tRNA from 1 species
GGGCCGCUAGCUCAGAUGGCUAGAGCAGCUGACUCUUAAUCAGCGGGUCCCGAGUUCGAGUCUCGGGCGGCCCA